UCGACUAGAGAGGAAUGUGUUUGGAAAAGCAUCACAGGCUGGAUUACACUGCUGCCAGUUCCUUGGUGAUUGCUGUUUUGUCUGACAAGCAACGACGAGCCGGCCAGAGACACUGGCUGCCGCCAAAAGUUGUUUAGACGUAUCACGUGUUGACGCUCUCGAGAGAAAGAGAGGAAAAGAAGAGGAGACAGGUAAAGGAGCUGGAGGGGGUGUAGGAGGUUCUGUCGUGCAGGAAAAAGGAAGAGAAACAGGAAGAAACAGAGUUGUUGACAGAAGAGGGGAGAGAGGGGGGACCACGUGGAAGAACCAUCCUGUGACAACCGUCCAACAAGCAUGCAUAGGUGUGAGUGUACACUGGUAUCACAAGUCACACUGCCUCAUCUCAAAACAAAUAAUUCCAAUUUAAUACAGACUUUUACAGAAGCCAUCCAAUUUUAACAGCAUUUUUUACAGCGGUUACUUUUUUUUUUAUUACUGCAACACAUUUCCAAAUCAUAUCUAUGUUACAUGUCUGAUUGCCUCAAAUCCCCUUUGGUUGAUGUGAAAACUUGUUUUUUUUUUUUUUUUU